rnacentral:rRNA from 1 species
AACGAACGCUGGCGGCGUGGAUAAGACAUGCAAGUCGAACGUUGCUUGUCAAAUAGUAAUAUUUGGCUAGCGACGUGGCGAAAGGGUGCGUAACAUGUGGGUAAUCUGCCGUAAAGUUCGGAAUAACUUGUUGAAAAAUAAACUAAUGCCGAAUGUAAAAAAUAAAGGAAAUCCUUUGUUUUUUAAAGUUAGGGACCGCAAGGCCUGAUGCUUUACGUAUGAGCCCGCCAACCUAUCAGCUAGUUGGUGAAGAAUUGCUCACCAAGGCUAAGACGGGUAGCUGGUCUGAGAGGACGACCAGCCACACUGGAACUGAGACACGGUCCAGACACCUACGGGUGGCAGCAGUCGAGAAUUUUUCUUCAAUGGGGGGAAACCCGUGAAGGAGCGACGCCGCGUGGAGGAUGAA